AAGCCCCUUCGGGGGCUGGAGGAGCGGCUAACGGGGUAGUAAGGCGUAGGUAACGUACCCCCAGGACCGGGAUAGCCGGGGGAAACUCCGGGUAAUACCGGACGAUCUCUUCGGGCGUGAUGCCUGAGGAGCAAAUGGUGAGAUUCCGCCUGGGGAGCGGCUUACGUGGUACUAGGUAGUUGGCGGGGUAACGGCCCACCAAGCCUGAGAUGCCUAGGGGGUGUGAGAGCAUGGCCCCCACCACUGGGACUGAGAUACUGCCCAGACACCUACGGGUGGCUGCAGUCGAGAAUCUUCGGCAAUGCGCGCAAGCGUGACCGAGCGACGCCGCGUGCGGGAUGAAGGCCCUUGGGUUGUAAACCGCUGUCAGAGGGGAGGAAAUCAUUGGGGGUUAUCCCCCAGUGUUGACCGAGCCUCAGAGGAAGCACGGGCUAAGUUCGUGCCAGCAGCCGCGGUAAUACGAACUGUGCGAACGUUACUCGGAAUCACUGGGCUUAAAGGGUGCGUAGGCGGCCCUUCAAGUCGGGUGUGAAAGUCUCCGGCCUAACCGGAGAAUUGCGCCCGAAACUAGAGGGCUUGAGUGCGCUAGGGGUGUGCGGAACUUCCGGUGGAGCGGUGAAAUGUGUUGAUAUCGGAAGGAACGCCGGUGGCGAAAGCGGCACACUGGGGCGCAACUGACGCUGAGGCACGAAAGCCAGGGGAGCGAACGGGAUUAGAUACCCCGGUAGUCCUG
rnacentral:rRNA from 1 species